GCGGGAAUAGCUCAGUUGGUAGAGUGCCAAGGUCGGGGUCGCGAGUUCGAGUCUCGUUUCCCGCUCCA
rnacentral:tRNA from 1 species